ensembl:lncRNA
AGAGGUUAAGGCCAGCUGGAGAGGUUAAGGCCAGCUGGAGAGGUUAAGGCCAGCUGGAGAGGUUAAGGCCAGAUGGAGAGGUAGAGGUUAAGACCAGAUGGAGAGGUUAAGACCAGAUGGAGAGGUUAAGGUAGAGGUUAAGACCAGAUGGAGAGGUUAAGGCCAGACGGAGAGGUUACGGCCAGACGGAGAGGUUACGGCCAGACGGAGAGGUUACGGCCAAACGGAGAGGUUACGGCCAGACGGAGAGGUUACGGCCAGACGGAGAGGUUACGGCCAGACGGGGAGGUUAAGGCCAGAUGGAGAGGUUAAGACCAGACGGAGAGGUUAAGACCAGACGGAGAGGUUAAGACCAGACGGAGAGGUUAAGACCAGACGGAGAGGUUAAGACCAGACGGAGAGGUUAAGACCAGAUGGAGGUUAA